UACGUGGGGGGCAAGCGUUGUCCGGAAUCAUUGGGCGUAAAGCGCGUGUAGGCGGUUACGUAAGUCUGCUGUGAAAGUCGGAGGCUCAACCUUCGAAAGCCGGUGGAUACUGCGUGACUAGAGUACGGAAGAGGAGAGUGGAAUUCCUGGUGUAGCGGUGAAAUGCGCAGAUAUCAGGAGGAACACCAACGGCGAAGGCAGCUCUCUGGGACGUUACUGACGCUGAGACGCGAAAGCGUGGGGAGCAAACAGG
rnacentral:rRNA from 1 species